GUGGCUGUAGUUCAGUUGGUUAGAAUGCCAGGUUGUGGCCCUGGAGGUCGUGGGUUCAAGUCCCACCAGCCACC
rnacentral:tRNA from 1 species